rnacentral:lncRNA from 1 species
GCAUCACAUAAACUUACCAUUUCACAAAUUACAUGCAACAGAGUCUUAAAUUAUAACCAACACACACAUUUAUUCUAAAGCUUAACCGGAUAUUGAACCGAUUUUUUCACAUAGUUGGGUACGAAGCAUUCAUGGCAAGACCACAUUGUCCGUGUUUAGGCUUGAUAUCUUUUUUGAUCCUCAUGUAUCCACGUUCUCCCCAUUUUGGUCCCCAUGAAUUCUUGAGGAUCCAGUACUUUAAUCCGUUUUUAGAUCGGCCGUAUCCAACCGCAGUUACCCCGUGAUCAAGAUGAGUUGUGCAUUCUCCGCUGAACACACCGGACGAAUAGAAUUGGAAACC